rnacentral:rRNA from 1 species
GACGAACGCUGGCGGCGUGCUUAACACAUGCAAGUCGAGCGGUAAGGCCCUUUCGGGGGUACACGAGCGGCGAACGGGUGAGUAACACGUGGGUGACCUGCCCUCAGCUCUGGGAUAAGCCUGGGAAACCGGGUCUAAUACUGGAUAUGACUCCAUGACGCAUGUUGUGGGGUGGAAAGCCUUGUGCGGCUGAGGAUGGGCCCGCGGCCUAUCAGCUUGUUGGUGGGGUGAUGGCCUACCAAGGCGACGACGGGUAGCCGGCCUGAGAGGGCGACCGGCCACACUGGGACUGAGACACGGCCCAGACUCCUACGGGAGGCAGCAGUGGGGAAUCUUGCGCAAUGGGCGAAAGCCUGACGCAGCGACGCCGCGUGAGGGAUGACGGCCUCGGUUGGUAACUACUUCUACGCUCCGACGACGACGACGAGUGACGGUAGGAGGCGAGAAGAAGACGACCGGACCGAA